rnacentral:ncRNA from 2 species
AUGUUAUCAAGAAAGGUAGAGGGAAUAGACCCGUUGAAACCUUGGCAACCUCCCGAACUUCGGGAAAGGUGCUACGUUCUACCAGUAAUUAAUUUACUGGACAGAUAACGA